rnacentral:rRNA from 1 species
AUGGCCACCGAGGGACAGAGCGGCGGCGGCGGCGCUAACUCCGGCGAGGGCAGGAGCUUCGUCGACGCCAACCGUCUCCGGGACCUGCAAGCUUUCGACGACACCAGGGCCGGCGCCAAGGGCCUCGCCGACGCCGGCGUCCGCCACGUCCCCGCCAUCUUCCACCACCACCCCGACGCCCUCGCCCCGCACGCCGUCUCCACCCGCGUCGCCAUCCCCGUCAUCGACCUCUCCGGCCGCCGGGCGGAGGUGGUGGCCGCGGUGAAGGAGGCGGCCGAGACGGUGGGCCUCUUCCAGGUGGUGGCGCACGGCGUGCCGGAGGCGGCCAUGGCGGGGAUGCUGGCGGCGGUGCGGCAGUUCCACGAGGAGCCGGUGGAGGCCAAGGCGCGCUACUACACGCGGGACGCGGGCAGGAGCGUCCGCUACAACUGCAACACGGACCUCUUCCAGGCGCCCGCGGCCCGGUGGCGCGACACCCUCUACCUGGACGACCCGGACAAGCUGGCUGCGGAGGAGCCUCUCCCUCCGGCGUGCAGCGGCAUCGUGCCGCGCUACACCCUGCUGAUGCGGCAGCUGGGGCGGUCCCUCUUCGGGCUGCUGUCGGAGGCCCUGGGGGUGCGGCGCGGCCACCUGGAGGAGCAGGCCGGUUGCAUGGAGGCGGUCACCAUGUUCGCCCACUACUACCCGGCGUGCCCGCAGCCGGAGCUCACGCUGGGCGCCGGCCGGCACUCGGACCCCAGCUUCGCCACCGUGCUGCUCCAGGACAGCGUCGGCGGCCUCCAGGUGCUCGUGGAGGAGGAGGAGGAGGGUGGGAGUGGCCCGGCGUGGGUGGACGUGCCGGUGGUGCCGGGGGCGCUGGUGGUGAACGUGGGCGACUUCCUCCAGCUCGUGUCCAACGGCCGCUUCCACAACGUGCUGCACCGCGUGGUGGCCAAGGACGUGGGUCCCCGGAUCUCGGUGGCCUGCUUCUUCCGCGCGAACGGCGCGACGGUGUGCGCGCCGGUGGUGGACGCCGGGAGUGGUUCACAGGCGAGGUACCGGACGGUGACGGCGGAGGAGCUGCUGGGGUCGCCGAGGGCGCAGAACCGGCUCCGUGACCUCCGGCUCUAG